rnacentral:rRNA from 1 species
GAUGAACGCUGGCUACAGGCUUAACACAUGCAAGUCGAGGGGAAACGACGGGGAAGCUUGCUUCCCCGGGCGUCGACCGGCGCACGGGUGAGUAACGCGUAUCCAACCUGCCUCUGACUGAGGGAUAACCCGUCGAAAGUCGGCCUAAUACCUCAUGGCAUCGUCUGCGGGCAUCCAACGACGAUUAAAGAUUUCAUCGGUCAGAGAUGGGGAUGCGUCUGAUUAGCUUGUUGGCGGGGUAACGGCCCACCAAGGCGACGAUCAGUAGGGGUUCUGAGAGGAAGGUCCCCCACAUUGGAACUGAGACACGGUCCAAACUCCUACGGGAGGCAGCAGUGAGGAAUAUUGGUCAAUGGGCGAGAGCCUGAACCAGCCAAGUAGCGUGCAGGAUGACGGCCCUAUGGGUUGUAAACUGCUUUUAUGCGGGGAUAAAGUGAGGGACGUGUCCUUCGUUGCAGGUACCGCAUGAAUAAGGACCGGCUAAUUCCGUG